rnacentral:lncRNA from 1 species
GCACACACUAGUAAUUUUAAAAGACCUGAAGCAAAGCAGCUGUAGGAUACGUGAGCCAAAUAAUUGGUGACAUCAACGAACGCUGCUGAGGACACAGUUCACAGAUUGUUCCUCCACAAAGUUGAAGAUGCAAGGCAAGCUACUGUGCGCAUUGUAGCAGGUUGAAAUGCACACCAAAUUGCACAGCACUGGCCAUAGGAGGAACGAAAAAGUUCACCUAUUUUGUGGCAAAGACACCACCUAGUAUUUUGCUAGCCUGUGCGCAAAAAUGCAGCCAUCUACUAAAGCAUAGCUGAUCUAGUAAAAAAAGCGCAGCUAAAGCACACAGUAAAAUGGGUUGUUUGCCUGAAAUUUCAAAAUGGGGCAGCGGAAGAAAAGCGCCAGAAUAAAUGGAGAAAGGCUAGGGGCAUGAGUUACAGUGGCCUCUCAUAAGAAAUUGUGCUUAUCCAACUGCUCAUUCAACAUUCCCUUGAGCUUUUUCUUUUUCAACAUUCAAUAUUCAACAUGAGAAUCAACAGCCAGAGCACUGGAGAUCUUUAAUUCCAAGCCGUACCACACAAAGAGACAAUAAUCGCAGAAACAAGAAGUGAAAUCAAGUUGAAGAACCAAAGUGGGAACAGCCGAGGAAGCCCUCCGGAGGUAGGGAUUGGUAGCCGAACCUUAAACAAUCAUGGAGAGAGAAAGCACCGGCGACGGCGACGGCCUAUGAACCGCCAACCACCCCUCCGUCCUACCUCAAGUGGCUACUCCCCUGCAGAGGCUUCUACCUGGGAUGGCUAGCUAGAGAGGGCGAGUGGGGCAGCAAAAGCAGCAGAGCUUUCCAAGCAUCGGAGGAGAUGAUCAGCGAGAGGAGGAAGAAGAUGGAGCCGGACCUAAAAUGGGAACCAGAGCAUUUCCUGAUAUCACGGCUACAAUGCGGACGGGUUGCAGCUCGUGACGACGACCCUGAGGCGAUCUCUCUGCUUCCCCUCUGUUUCUACUUUCUGGUACUACUUCCAAGCAG